rnacentral:rRNA from 1 species
AGCACCGGCUAACUCCGUGCCAGCAGCCGCGGUAAUACGGAGGGUGCGAGCGUUAAUCGGAAUAACUGGGCGUAAAGGGCACGCAGGCGGUUAUUUAAGUGAGGUGUGAAAGCCCCGGGCUUAACCUGGGAAUUGCAUUUCAGACUGGGUAACUAGAGUACUUUAGGGAGGGGUAGAAUUCCACGUGUAGCGGUGAAAUGCGUAGAGAUGUGGAGGAAUACCGAAGGCGAAGGCAGCCCCUUGGGAAUGUACUGA